rnacentral:lncRNA from 1 species
UUCCACCGAAUCCAACCGAGACAACAGUAACAAAAAGCUCAAGCAUUCACUUGAAAACCGUCGAGAUCAAACAAUGUUAUUACAACCUUGUUUCCAAUUUUCCAUCAGUUUCGGUGCAAACAAAACCUAGAAUCGAAAGUAAGCGCAAUAACACACUUAAAAAAUACAUCAAAUUACCAGAAGCUACAAAGCCAAGCACACACUUUCUUUCCAUACACAAUCGUCUGACCGGAAUUACAGUCCGGUAAUCAUCGUAAGGUGUGGAUCUCUAUUUUCGCAUAUAUACUACUUCCAACAAAACUUGGAAUCAUUAAUUUAAAAAAUAAAAAGGAAAAUUAUUACGAACUCAAAUUUCAUAAACAGAACCACAAACCCACUCGUCUAUAGAUAUAUAUACUCCUGUUAGUGUUUUUCUGAUUGACAGUAUCAAUCUAGAAUCCUGGAUUAAUAUCAUUACAACCAUUCAAAGAAACGUUCGCCGAAUUGAAUCACAUCUACACUCUUAAGUGCGUGAAAGAAAAAAAUAGAUCUGUGGAAGCAAGCGUACCGUUAAUCCGUUAUAGAAAGUGCAGAAUCUCAGCCUGAGUUCCCCGAAGAUGAAAUGGAAUGAGAUGAUGAAGAACUGAGAGCUAUUUGCGGCGGUGUGUGUGUUUGGUGUGGGUUGGGG